AACGAACGCUGGCGGCAGGCUUAACACAUGCCAGUCGAGCGCCCCGCAAGGGGAGCGGCAGACGGGUGAGUAACGCGUGGGAACGUACCUUUUGGUUCGGAACAACUCCGGGAAACUGGAGCUAAUACCGGAUAAGCCCUAACGGGGAAAGAUUUAUCGCCGAAAGAUCGGCCCGCGUCUGAUUAGCUAGUUGGUGAGGUAACGGCUCACCAAGGCGACGAUCAGUAGCUGGUCUGAGAGGAUGAUCAGCCACACUGGGACUGAGACACGGCCCAGACUCCAACGGGAGGCAGCAGUGGGGAAUAUUGGACAAUGGGCGCAAGCCUGAUCCAGCCAUGCCGCGUGAGUGAUGAAGGCCUUAGGGUUGUAAAGCUCUUUUGUCCGGGAAGAUAAUGACUGUACCGGAAGAAUAAGCCCCGGCUAACUUCGUG
rnacentral:rRNA from 1 species